rnacentral:lncRNA from 1 species
AAAGAUUCAGUAGAUUUUUAAGUUUGGGAACAUCAAGCUUCCAAUAACUUUCCAUUUUUUAUUCUAGAGAAAUAAACAGGCAACUCUAACAGGGUUCUUAAAGGGAAACGGCUAACUUUUGCUGAACUCAUAUUACGAGAGCAGGACUCAAGCUUCAUAUUUGAGCAUGCUAAAAAUGUGGAUGCAUAUAAUUAAUAUGUUCUAUUAUAGAAGUUCCUUUUACUAACACUCCAAGGCUUAAACACACGUUGCUUUAAAUGAAAAUAGACUCUAAGAGACUAUAUAACAAUAUAAUUUCUUUCAGCUUGAAAGAAACACCAAAACAAAUCUUAGUCACUUCAGCAUCAUGCAGGUUGAAGGGUGAUACCGCUCUUGAAAGCCCAACAGGCAAAGAUUCUUCUUUCUUUCUUGUUUUUACAAGCACACUUCAUAGGAUCUCUCUUAAUAAGUUCAAUUGAUGUAAGUUUAGACUUCGCUAACUUUACCUCUGAGGCUAGAUUCUCAAAGACUCCAUGUUGACCUAUGAAAUCAGGCUAAUAAAUGACUUCAUACACGAUUCCUGAUACAUCAAAAAGUUCACCCACUUUUGCCUUGUUUAUUUUAUAUCUACCAGAUAAACCUAGAAACCCUUCCUGGUGGCGAGAUGAAAUAGAACUCAAACAACAAUGGCAACAAGAAAUCACUGAAUAAGUUAUUCCACCACUAGAAAAUUAUUACUUGCAUAAAUAAGAAAAACUCAAUUUCUAUUUUCAUCUCUAGAUUUAGCACACUUCUCAAGCAAUACUUAUCCCAAUUGUUGAUUUGACAGCUACCAUGGAUGCAUGAUAAUGUUUGUCACUCUGUGCAAUUGCAAUAGCCAUUUAUUGCUUAUCUAUUUCUACACAAAGCACCCAAAAUGUUGAAGCAAUAACUUAAUGAAUGAGUAAUCCAAAAUUUCAACUAAAAAGUUUCCGUAUCAAUGAAGCAAUUCAAGGAUACAUGUUUAGCACCAGGAAAAAAUACUGAGUUUUUAUGAUUUAAAAGUGAUUUUAGCAUUCCAGUGUCCUGUCUCUCUCUCUUUACUUUACAGGAAGAUAGUGAUAAUUUUGUGAUUUUAUAAAACUAGACAGUGCGUUGAGGAUUACAAAAGAUACAAAAGAUACAAGUAGAUAACAUUAAAUGGGUAAAACCUGAAGAUGAAACCUUAAUCUGGCAUAUUCUUCAAGGAGGAAUAAAUUCCCAUAUCUUAACAGAAAAGGAAAAAGUCGAUUAUUCAUAUAAA